rnacentral:rRNA from 1 species
CCUACGGGUGGCUGCAGUGGGGAAUAUUGGACAAUGGGGGCAACCCUGAUCCAGCCAUGCCGCGUGUGUGAAGAAGGCCCUCGGGUUGUAAAGCACUUUCAGUGAGGAAGAACGCCUGGUGGUUAAUACCCAUCAGGAAAGACAUCACUCACAGAAGAAGCACCGGCUAACUCCGUGCCAGCAGCCGCGGUAAUACGGAGGGUGCGAGCGUUAAUCGGAAUUACUGGGCGUAAAGCGCGCGUAGGUGGCUUGAUAAGCCGGUUGUGAAAGCCCCGGGCUCAACCUGGGAACGGCAUCCGGAACUGUCAAGCUAGAGUGCAGGAGAGGAAGGUAGAAUUCCCGGUGUAGCGGUGAAAUGCGUAGAGAUCGGGAGGAAUACCAGUGGCGAAGGCGGCCUUCUGGACUGAAACUGACACUGAGGUGCGAAAGCGUGGGUAGCAAACAGGAUUAGAUACCCCAGUAGUC